UUAAGCAGCACAUAUACUUAAAAAAAUGGGAAAGAUACAGAAACUAGCAUGGCCCUUGUGCAAGAAUGACACACAAAUUUCUGAAGUGUUUCAUAUUUUU
rnacentral:snRNA from 1 species